CUUUCCCUCGGAGGCGCGCGCCUGGGCCAGACGUGUCUCCGGAGUGUCCAGCAACAAUUUGUGCAUUCAUGCAUGAGUUGUUGCUGGACAUUCCUAAUUAAUAAAGUUUACUCCAAACAUCACCCCAUGUGCAGCGCUAUCAUUAAAAAGGUAACUCUCAACCUUACAAGCAGUACCCAACAUCCGCCUGGAACACAGAAGUUCCUCCAGCAGCCAGUAGAGACGCAAUGAAGAAAUACUCGUCCUCGAGUAACCAACGCACUCUACUGGGAAACGAUCCGGCGACCUACUGCUCAUUUAUUGUUAGUUUUGAAUCGGCCCAAAAUACUGUUGACAUUACA